GGCUUCAUGGUCUAGUGGUAUGAUUCCUGCUUUGGGACAGCAUCGUUCUAAGUUGCAGGAGGCCCCGCGUUCGAAUCGCGGUGGAGCCC